rnacentral:rRNA from 1 species
UACGGGGGGGGCAAGCGUUGUUCGGAAUUACUGGGCGUAAAGGGCUCGUAGGUGGCCAACUAAGUCAUACGUGAAAUCCCUCGGCUUAACCGGGGAACUGCGUCUGAUACUGGAUGGCUUGAGGUUGGGAGAGGGAUGCGGAAUUCCAGGUGUAGCGGUGAAAUGCGUAGAUAUCUGGAGGAACACCGGUGGCGAAGGCGGCAUCCUGGACCGGUAUUGACGCUGAGGCGCGAAAGCCAGGGGAGCG